rnacentral:rRNA from 1 species
UUACAAAGGACGACAUUAGACGAAUCAUCUGGAAAGAUGAAUCAAAGAAGGUAAUAAUCCUGUAGUCGAAAAUGUUGUCUCUCUUGAGUGGAUCCUGAGUACGACGGAGCACGUGAAAUUCCGUCGGAAUCUGGGAGGACCAUCUCCUAAGGCUAAAUACUCUCUAGUGACCGAUAGUGAACCAGUACCGUGAGGGAAAGGUGAAAAGCACCCCGGAAGGGGAGUGAAAUAGAACCUGAAACCGUGUGCUUACAAGUAGUCAGAGCCCGUUAAUGGGUGAUGGCGUGCCUUUUGUAGAAUGAACCGGCGAGUUACGAUUUGAUGCAAGGUUAAGCAGUAAAUGUGGAGCCGUAGCGAAAGCGAGUCUGAAUAGGGCGUUUAGUAUUUGGUCGUAGACCCGAAACCAGGUGAUCUACCCUUGGUCAGGUUGAAGUUCAGGUAACACUGAAUGGAGGACCGAACCGACUUACGUUGAAAAGUGAGCGGAUGAACUGAGGGUAGCGGAGAAAUUCCAAUCGAACCUGGAGAUAGCUGGUUCUCUCCGAAAUAGCUUUAGGGCUAGCCUCAAGUGAUGAUUAUUGGAGGUAGAGCACUGUUUGGACGAGGGGCCCCUCUCGGGUUACCGAAUUCAGACAAACUCCGAAUGCCAAUU